rnacentral:rRNA from 1 species
GGUAACCUGCCCAGAAGUAGGGGAUAACACCUGGAAACAGAUGCUAAUACCGUAUAACAGAGAAAACCGCAUGGUUUUCUUUUAAAAGAUGGCUCUGCUAUCACUUCUGGAUGGACCCGCGGCGUAUUAGCUAGUUGGUGAGGUAAAGGCUCACCAAGGCAGUGAUACGUAGCCGACCUGAGAGGGUAAUCGGCCACAUUGGGACUGAGACACGGCCCAGACUCCUACGGGAGGCAGCAGUAGGGAAUCUUCCACAAUGGACGCAAGUCUGAUGGAGCAACGCCGCGUGAGUGAAGAAGGGUUUCGGCUCGUAAAGCUCUGUUGUUAAAGAAGAACGUGGGUAAGAGUAACUGUUUACCCAGUGACGGUAUUUAACCAGAAAGCCACGGCUAACUACGUGCCAGCAGCCGCGGUAAUACGUAGGUGGCAAGCGUUAUCCGGAUUUAUUGGGCGUAAAGCGAGCGCAGGCGGUCUUUUAAGUC